ACGUAACAAAAUGUUUAAAAAGUCAAGGGGUCUGAAUAAUUUCCGAAUGCACUGUAGAUACAACCAUAGUCCAAGGCAGGAGUUGGCAGGAAAUGUCUCUACAUCCACGUUGAGGCCUGCUACAGGCAGGAACAUGGAGCACUCCAUGUCAGUGUCAAGGGAAUAUUCCAGAGCCUUCUGACCAACUACCGGAGAUCUCUCCAGGACAGAUAAGUGAGUCUACUGGGCCAUGGAACUCUAAAGCAGCACAUUCAAAACAACUGCCCCCCUGUUACCACCUAUCAGCAGACAGGUCCCUGAGGAAGGAUGCAACUCUCAAGGACAAUGGACAAAUUUGGUGGAUGAUCACCAAACGGAAUAAAGUUUUGUAUAAACUACUCAUGUUUGUUUUUUAAAAGUUGUUGCGAAACAAUACAUUUUUCAUAGCCUGUUUUUCAAAUUUUUACUAACUACUACGCUAAACAUCAAACAACAUGCAGACUUUCUCCAUCAAGAAAACACCUGGUGCUUAUGACUCCAAAAGGUCUAAAAUCAAUGCAAGUCUCAUGUCCAGGGUGAAUACAUUUUGAUUCAUGUAUAUAAGACAUCACACAGGUGUACAAACUACAAUAUAUAUCACAGACAAGCCUGAAGAAUAGGACAAAUAGACAAGUGAAUAUAAGUCUGCUCUUGUGUCUGUAGCAAGUUGUACAUGUUGACGUGUUAAAUGGCUACGAGACACUGAUAAGGAGAGUCUUGCUGGAGUGUCAGGUAAGGUACCACUGAAGGCCCUAGUAUUCAGUCAGGCAUCUAGAAGCAGAUGUCACCAUCCAGGCCCAUGCCACAGCAUGCAGAGGCCUGAUUGGGAGAUGACAAUAAAUACAUGAUG